ensembl:lncRNA
CAGAAAGAGAGAGAGAGAGAGAGAGAGAGAGAGAGAGAGAGAGAGAGAGAGAGAGAGACCCCAAAUAAAAGAUCCAAUCGAACAUGGGCAACCAAAAUGAAUAGACAUUCCCAGAAGUACAGAUGGCCGAUAAAUACAUGAAAACUGCUCAUCAUCGCUGGUUAUGAGAGAAAUACAAACUAAAACCACACUGACAUUCCAUCUUACUCGAGAAACAAUGGGCAUCGUCAAGAAAUCAAAUGUAACAAGUGCUGGAGAGGCUUCGGGAAAAAGGGACCCUUCUACACUGCCGGUGCCAGGGUCCUUCAACAGCAAGAGGGCUGUCAUCCUCUGGAAAAGCUGAAAGUCAGGCACGCCAAGAGAGUGUGAUGUCUUGCAUUGGGAGAAGAAUGGCUCUGGGUCGCCCCAGGUGGAGCAGGUGUGAGGCCCCAAGCAAUCCCGGCAGGCCAGCCAGCCCCAGCCAGGAACCUUGACCUGCACCUAGGACACACGCCACUGCAGACAGACAGACUCUACGUGUGUGGCCACAGGGACACAACAUGCACCCUGAUCAAUUGCUCAUAAAUAAUGUUAUUGCUCAUAAUAAUC